rnacentral:rRNA from 1 species
GACGAACGCUGGCGGCGUGCUUAUCACAUGCAAGUCGAACGGAAAGGCCCUGCUUUUAUGGGGUGCUCGAGUGGCGAACGGGUGAGUAACACGUGAGUAACCUGCCCUUGACUUUGGGAUAACUUCAGGAAACUGGGGCUAAUACCGGAUAGGAGCUCCUGCUGCAUGGUGGGGGUUGGAAAGUUUCGGCGGUUGGGGAUGGACUCGCGGCUUAUCAGCUUGUUGGUGGGGUAGUGGCUUACCAAGGCUUUGACGGGUAGCCGGCCUGAGAGGGUGACCGGCCACAUUGGGACUGAGAUACGGCCCAGACUCCUACGGGAGGCAGCAGUGGGGAAUAUUGCACAAUGGGCGGAAGCCUGAUGCAGCAACGCCGCGUGCGGGAUGACGGCCUUCGGGUUGUAAACCGCUUUCGCCUGUGACGAAGCGUGAGUGACGGUAAUGGGUAAAGAAGCACCGGCUAACUACGUG